rnacentral:rRNA from 1 species
GAAUAUUGGACAAUGGGCGAAAGCCUGAUCCAGCUAUCCCGCGUGCAGGAUGACGGCCCUAUGGGUUGUAAACUGCUUUUAGUAGGGAAUAAACCUCUCGAUUUAUUCGGGAGCUGAAGGUACCUACAGAAUAAGCACCGGCUAACUCCGUGCCAGCAGCCGCGGUAAUACGGAGGGUGCAAGCGUUAUCCGGAAUCACUGGGUUUAAAGGGUGCGUAGGUGGCUUGAUAAGUCAGUGGUGAAAGCCCACCGCUCAACGGUGGAAUUGCCAUUGAUACUGUCAGGCUUGAAUAAGGUUGAGGUCGGCGGAAUGUGUCAUGUAGCGGUGAAAUGCAUAGAUAUGACAUAGAACACCAAUUGCGAAGGCAGCUGGCUAGACCUUUAUUGACACUGAGGCACGAAAGCGUGGGGAGCGAACAGG